AUAUAUUUAUACUCUAUCGCUUUAGGACAGAGGUGAUGCAGCAGCAUGCAACACAAAUUCUGACUGACUUUUUCUUUGAAACAGCAACAGUACCGGGUUAGACAUGUUUCAUUUCGGGUUCAGUGUGAUCACCUGAAGUCGCAGCCGACAAUCGCACCAUACAGCCGUACAGUGUGAGCACAGCAAUCGUGACUGCAGUCAAGUGAGCCGUCAUUUUCCAAAAGCCGCACCGAAGAUUUAAGGUGCGCGACUACGUCCGUGAGUUUUGACUUGACAUCGCAUCGAUUUAUUCAUACUGUGUGAGUUGGUAUUAAACACAAACAUCCUGUAGCGGGUGCUAUUUGCCUCAGGUCGGGAAAAAGGGGAGGGUAAGUCGACCCGCAUAUAUAGGGCUCCUUGUACGGGGGAACAAAGGUGUCGGGGUUUGGUUCCGCCCGGUGGAGUAAGGCAGGUGCACACCUUGCUCCACACUGGCGUGCAGGGAGGCCAUACAGGUAUGCGGGUUGGCUGUAGCCUACCUUUUUGUUUUAAAGUAUUUGACGGGUGGUUGAUUGACUUUGUUUUAUACAUUACAGAUGGAUGUUCAGGCAAAGAAGUAGACGGUAUUCACAAGUAGUUUGGUCACGCAGAUGCCAUGUAUUUUAAGGAUUAUUAAUUAUAUUGCAGAUCAGACUUGAUGGAUGAAUUUGUCAAAACAAAAUUAAAUGAAUGGCAGCUGGACACCCUGUUGGAUACAUUCAAAGAGCAGGAAGUGGAUGAGGAGAGUUUCCUUUUGCUGGAUGAUGCUGCCAUGCAGCAUCUUAUUCCAAAAAUUGGUCAACGUCUCAAAUUUCAAAAACAUCACAAGGAGCUUCUCCAAGCUGCCUGUUCGACAAAGGAUCAAUGUUUAUCAGAAAAGAAUGUUGAAACGGUGGCAUCGACAACUCUGCUUACUGUGGUGCUUCAUCCAGAAUUUGCGAUUCGCCAAAUGUUGGGAGGUAGCCUUGAAGGGAGAUCUAUAUUAAGCACUUUGGAUGAGAAGCAAUCAAUUACAUCCAAAGAGAGGAAGCUUCUUGUGAGACUUCUGGUAUCCCACCUUAUUGAAAAACAUGGCGAAAUGCCACCCUCAGACACUAAGAUAGCACUUGCCAUGGCGUUGAUUUAUGAAUUUCCAUGUCUUAAGGAUGACACAGGCAGCAGCUAUGGAGCAUGGUACACACCUGGCCGAAAACACAGACCUGCUACAGGUUUUUUGGAGGAGCGCUUGAGAAAUGUCAGAAAGCGUAUGAGGAGCCUGAUUCGCCCGCGCCAACAGGAACCACAAGAGGACCAUGCUGUCCUUACACCAGAUUCACUUUCAUCUCCCCAAAAUAUUCGAGAGAUGGUUGCCUGGCUGAAAGCUAACAAAUAUCCAGUCUCUGAAGUGGAGGCCAAGAUGAAGGAAACCUCCAUACACAGAAGCAAAUGGAUUAGAUGUAACGGCUCCAAAACCAUCAGUGAAAUCCUGAGGGAGUUUCCCAGGCUGACAGACAAUCCUGGCAUGAUAUCGCAAGACUUUCAGCAACUUCAUCCUGAGGCAGCAGGACAAAUGUUUGAGAAGUGGCCUGCAAUUGCAGACAAAAUCUUAAAAUAUGCCCAACGAGAGGGAAAAAUAAAUGUUGUGCCAGAUGAUGUCACACCUGGUGAGAGAGCUUUAAAGGCCUUACCAAACCUGCUUCCCCCAUCACUCUUCAAAAGAGGUGGAAAAAUUGUGAGACCCACGACAGCGGAGUCUCAAAGGGCAUUUGUUAACAUGCAGCCUGUUGGAACCAAUAUAGUGGAGUACCUGACAAAUGUGGAUAACACCUUUCCACACGUUCUGUCGCUGGGACAUGAGAGAGUGUCUCAAACAUUUCUGGUUGUGGAAGGCCAUGCCAUUGAGACUGACUCGCUGCUUGAAGCUGUGGACCUGUGCUUUAAGUCUUUUUAUGUUUUUGACACGAAUUACCCAAAGGAGUGCCAACCCACAUGGGAGUUUUUGCAGCACUGCAUUUAUGAAAUAAAUGGACAAGAAUCUUCAGCUGUCAAAUUUUUGAGGACAGCCAUUGCCCAUACCUAGAGUGUGGAUUAUCUCUGAAG
rnacentral:lncRNA from 1 species